rnacentral:rRNA from 1 species
UGGGGAAUUUUGGACAAUGGGGGCAACCCUGAUCCAGCAAUGCCGCGUGAGUGAAGAAGGCCUUCGGGUUGUAAAGCUCUUUUGUCCGGGAAGAAAGGGUUACUUCGAAUAAAGGUAAUCGAUGACGGUACCGGAAGAAUAAGCACCGGCUAACUACGUGCCAGCAGCCGCGGUAAUACGUAGGGUGCAAGCGUUAAUCGGAAUUACUGGGCGUAAAGCGUGCGCAGGCGGUUAUGUAAGUCAGAUGUGAAAUCCCCGGGCUUAACCUGGGAAUGGCAUUUGAGACUGCAUGGCUAGAGUGUGUCAGAGGGGGGUAGAAUUCCACGUGUAGCAGUGAAAUGCGUAGAGAUGUGGAGGAAUACCGAUGGCGAAGGCAGCCCCCUGGGAUAACACUGACGCUCAUGCACGAAAGCGUGGGGAGCAAACAGGAUUAGAUACCCCCGUAGUCC